rfam:Triticum aestivum genome assembly, contig: Triticum_aestivum_CS42_TGACv1_scaffold_513433_6BS
UUGGUACUCCCUCCGUCCGAAAAUACCUGUCAUCAAAAUGGAUAAAAGGAGAUGUAUCUAGAACUAAUAUACGUCUAGAUACAUCCCCUUUUAUUCAUUUUGAUGACAAGUAUUUCCGGACGGAGGGAGUUCAAC